rnacentral:rRNA from 1 species
AAACCAACAGGGAUUGCCCCAGUAACGGCGAGUGAAGCGGCAACAGCUCAAAUUUGAAAUCUGGCCCCCCUCGGGGUCCGAGUUGUAAUUUGCAGAGGAUGCUUCUGGCGCGGCGCCUUCCGAGUUCCCUGGAACGGGACGCCACAGAGGGUGAGAGCCCCGUCCGGUCGGACGCCAAGCCUAUGUGAAGCACCUUCGACGAGUCGAGUAGUUUGGGAAUGCUGCUCAAAAUGGGAGGUAUAUGUCUUCUAAAGCUAAAUACCGGCCAGAGACCGAUAGCGCACAAGUAGAGUGAUCGAAAGAUGAAAAGCACUUUGAAAAGAGGGUUAAAAAGUACGUGAAAUUGUUGAAAGGGAAGCGCUCGUGACCAGACUUGGGCCCGGCGGAUCACCCGGCGUUCGCUCGCCGGGGCACUCCGCGGGCGCCCAGGCCAGCAUCGGUUCGCCGGCGGGGGACAAAGGCGGCGGGAACGUGGCUCCCCCUCGGGGGAGUGUUAUAGCCCGUCGCGCAAUGCCCUGCCGCGGACCGAGGUUCGCGCUUCCGCAAGGAUGCUGGCGUAAUGGUCACCAGCGAC